UAAGGGGAANUUUGCACAUUUGGGGGUAACCCCUGNCGCAGCCAUGCCGCGUGUGUGAAGAAGGCCUUCGGGUUGUAAAGCACUUUCAGUAGGGAGGAAAGGUAGCGUGUUAAUAGCCCGUUACUGUGACGUUACCUACAGAAGAAGGACCGGCUAACUCCGUGCCAGCAGCCGCGGUAAUACGGAGGGUCCGAGCGUUAAUCGGAAUUACUGGGCGUAAAGCGUGCGCAGGCGGUUUGUUAAGCCAGAUGUGAAAUCCCCGGGCUCAACCUGGGAAUUGCAUUUGGAACUGGCGAACUAGAGUCUUGUAGAGGGGGGUAGAAUUCCAGGUGUAGCGGUGAAAUGCGUAGAUAUCUGGAGGAAUACCGGUGGCCGAAGGCGGCCCCCUGGACAAAGACUGACGCUCAUGCNCGAAAGCGUGGGGAGCAAACAGGAUUAGAUACCCUGGUAGUCCACGCCGUAAACGAUGUCUACUCGGAGUUUGGUGACUUANUCACUGGGCUCCCAAGCUAACCGCAUUAAGUANACCCCCUGGGGAGUACGGCCCGCAAGGUUAAAACUCANAUGAAUUGACGGGGGCCCNCACACCGGUGGANCAUGUGGUUUAAUUCCAUGCCNACCGANNACCUUACCUNCUNUUGNCNUCCACANAANNAUU
rnacentral:rRNA from 1 species